rnacentral:misc_RNA from 1 species
GAUGAAGAACGUAGCGAUAUGCGAUAAGUAAUGUGAAUUGCAGAAUUCAGUGAAUCAUCGAGUCUUUGAACGCACAUUGCGCCCCCUGGUAUUCCGGGGGGCAUGCCUGUCCGAGCGUCAUUGCUGCCCUCAAGCACGGCUUGUGUGUUGGGCUCCGCCCCCCUCCCGGGGGGCGGGCCCGAAAGGCAGCGGCGGCACCGCGUCCGGUCCUCGAGCGUAUGGGGCUUUGUCACCCGCUCUGUAGGCCCGGCCGGCGCCCGCCGGCGACCCCAAUCAAUCUUUCCAGGUUGACCUCGGAUCAGGUAGGGAUACCCGCUGAACUUAAGCAUAUCAAUAAGCGGAGGA